GAUGAACGCUGGCGGCGUGCCUAAUACAUGCAAGUCGAGCGAACAGACGAGGAGCUUGCUCCUCUGACGUUAGCGGCGGACGGGUGAGUAACACGUGAAUAACCUACCUAUAAGACUGGGAUAACUUCGGGAAACCGGAGCUAAUACCGGAUAAUAUAUUGAACCGCAUGGUUCAAUAGUGAAAGACGGUUUUGCUGUCACUUAUAGAUGGUUCCGCGCCGCAUUAGCUAGUUGGUAAGGUAACGGCUUACCAAGGCAAGGAUGCGUAGCCGGCCUGAGAGGGUGUUCGGCCACACUGGAACUGAGACACGGUCCAGACUACUACGGGAGGCAGCAGUAGGGAAUAUUCCGCGAUGGGCGAAAGCCUGACGAAGCAACGCCGCGUGAGUGAUGAAGGUCUUCGGAUCGUAAAACUCUGUUAUUAGGGAAGAAAAAAUGUGUAAGUAACUAUGCACGUCUUGACGGUACCUAAUCAGAAAGCCCCGGCUAACUACGUG
rnacentral:rRNA from 1 species